UAACCUGCGGAGGGAUCAUUACCGAGUUUACAACUCCCAAACCCAAUGUGAACGUUACCAAACUGUUGCCUCGGCGGGAUCUCUGCCCCGGGUGCGUCGCAGCCCCGGACCAAGGCGCCCGCCGGAGGACCAACCAAAACUCUUAUUGUAUACCCCCUCGCGGGUUUUCUUAUAAUCUGAGCCUUCUCGGCGCCUCUCGUGGGCGUUUCGAAAAUGAAUCAAAACUUUCAACAACGGAUCUCUUGGUUCUGGCAUCGAUGAAGAACGCAGCGAAAUGCGAUAAGUAAUGUGAAUUGCAGAAUUCAGUGAAUCAUCGAAUCUUUGAACGCACAUUGCGCCCGCCAGUAUUCUGGCGGGCAUGCCUGUCCGAGCGUCAUUUCAACCCUCGAACCCCUCCGGGGGGUCGGCGUUGGGGAUCGGCCCUGCCUCUUGGCGGCGGCCGUCUCCGAAAUACAGUGGCGGUCUCGCCGCAGCCUCUCCUGCGCAGUAGUUUGCACACUCGCAUCGGGAGCGCGGCGCGUCCACAGCCGUUAAACACCCAACUUCUGAAAUGUUGACCUCGGAUCAGGUAGGAAUACCCGCUGAACUUAAGCAUAUCAAU
rnacentral:rRNA from 1 species